rnacentral:rRNA from 1 species
UACGUAGGCAGCAAGCGUUGUUCGGAAUUACUGGGCGUAAAGAGUGUGUAGGCGGUGCUCUAAGUUCGGUGUGAAAUCUCCCGGCUCAACUGGGAGGGUGCGCCGAAAACUGGAGUGCUGGAGCGCGGGAGAGGAAAGCGGAAUUCCUGGUGUAGCGGUGAAAUGCGUAGAUAUCUGGAGGAAUACCGGUGGCGAAGGCGGCAUCCUGGACCGGCAUUGACGCUGAUGAGCGAAAGCUAGGGGAGCAAACGGG